rnacentral:rRNA from 1 species
GGGGAAUAUUGCACAAUGGGGGAAACCCUGAUGCAGCGACGCCGCGUGAAGGAUGAAGGUUUUCGGAUCGUAAACUUCUAUCAGCAGGGACGAUAAUGACGGUACCUGACUAAGAAGCCCCGGCUAACUACGUGCCAGCAGCCGCGGUAAUACGUAGGGGGCAAGCGUUAUCCGGAAUUACUGGGUGUAAAGGGUGCGUAGGCGGUAAUGUAAGUCAGGUGUGAAAGCCCGAAGCUCAACUUCGGGAUUGCACUUGAAACUACAUAACUAGAGUACAGGAGAGGUGAGUGGAAUUCCUAGUGUAGCGGUGAAAUGCGUAGAUAUUAGGAGGAACACCAGUGGCGAAGGCGACUCACUGGACUGUAACUGACGCUGAGGCACGAAAGCGUGGGGAGCGAAC